rnacentral:rRNA from 1 species
GACGAACGCUGGCGGCGUGCCUAAUACAUGCAAGUAGAACGCUGAAGGAGGAGCUUGCUUCUCUGGAUGAGUUGCGAACGGGUGAGUAACGCGUAGGUAACCUGCCUGGUAGUGGGGGAUAACUAUUGGAAACGAUAGCUAAUACCGCAUAAUAGCAGUUGUUGCAUGAUAACUGUUUGAAAGGUGCAAUUGCACCGCUACCAGAUGGACCUGCGUUGUAUUAGCUAGUUGGUGGGGUAACGGCUCACCAAGGCGACGAUACAUAGCCGACCUGAGAGGGUGGUCGGCCACCCUGGGACUGAGACACGGCCCAGACCUCUACGGGAGGCAGCAGUAGGGAAUCCUUGGCAAUUGAACGAAGUCUGACCGAGCAACGCCGCGGGAGGGGAGAAGGGUUUCGGAUCGUAAAGCUCUGGUGUAAGAGAAGAACGAGUGUGGGAGUGGAAAGGUCACAAUGGGACGGGAACUUACCAGAAAGGGACGGCUAACUACGUG